rnacentral:rRNA from 1 species
CCUACGGGGGGCAGCAGUGGGGAAUAUUGCACAAUGGGCGCAAGCCUGAUGCAGCCAUGCCGCGUGUGUGAAGAAGGCCUUCGGGUUGUAAAGCACUUUCAGCGGGGAGGAAGGCGGUGAGGUUAAUAACCUCAUCGAUUGACGUUACCCGCAGAAGAAGCACCGGCUAACUCCGUGCCAGCAGCCGCGGUAAUACGGAGGGUGCAAGCGUUAAUCGGAAUUACUGGGCGUAAAGCGCACGCAGGCGGUCUGUCAAGUCGGAUGUGAAAUCCCCGGGCGCAACCUGGGAACUGCAUUCGAAACUGGCAGGCUAGAGUCUUGUAGAGGGGGGUAGAAUUCCAGGUGUAGCGGUGAAAUGCGUAGAGAUCUGGAGGAAUACCGGUGGCGAAGGCGGCCCCCUGAACAAAGACUGACGCUCAGGUGCGAAAGCGUGGGGAGCAAACAGGAUUAGAUACCCGAGUAGUC